rnacentral:rRNA from 1 species
ACACGUAGGAACCGAGCGUUGUCCGGAUUUACUGGGCGUAAAGGGCGAGUAGGCGGCUCGUUAAGUCUCAUGUGAAAUCUCCCGGCUUAACUGGGAGGGGUCAUGGGAUACUGGCAAGCUUGAGGGCAGUAGAGGAAAGUGGAAUUCCCGGAGUAGUGGUGGAAUGCGUAGAUACCGGGAGGAACACCAGUGGCGAAAGCGACUUUCUGGGCUGCACCUGACGCUGAGGCGCGAAAGCAUGGGGAGCAAACCGGAUUAGAAACCCCAGUAGUCC